CAUGCUAGUGGUCAAGACGUAGAAGAAGAUAAUAGAAGCCUUGAGUACCACCUCGGCAUGUUUCACUUUGGAAUGUGUCCGGAGACGUCAGGCAUGGAAUGUCAACCCUUCAGCCCCAUUACUCAGCCACCAGGUUCCAGAUACUACCAUGAUGCCAACCAGACUUCCCUGGAGAGAUGACCCCACCAAUGUGGACUGGAGCUCAGCUUCCUCAGAGCCCUGCCACACUAGGGAAAGAGAGAGACAGGCUGGAAGUAUGGAUGGACCUGCCAACUCCCAUGUUCAUCAGGGAAGCAAUUACAGAAACCAGACCUUCCACCUUCUGCACCCCUUAAUGACCCCAGGUCCAUACUCUCAUGGGGUUAAAUAAUAGGAAAGCUAUCAGGGGAGGGAAUGGGAUAUGGAGCUCUGGUGGUGGGAAUUGUACCCUUAUUAUCCUAUGGUUUUGUCAG